AGUCGAACGGCAGCACGGACUUCGGUCUGGUGGCGAGUGGCGAACGGGUGAGUAAUGUAUCGGAACGUGCCUAGUAGCGGGGGAUAACUACGCGAAAGCGUAGCUAAUACCGCAUACGCCCUUCGGGGAAAGCAGGGGACCUUCGGGCCUCGCACUAAUGAAACGGCCGAUAUCGGAUUAGCUAGUUGGUGGGGUAACGACUCACUAAGGCGACGAUCCGUAGCUGGUUUGAGGACGACCAGCCACACAGGACUGAGACACAGCCCGAACUCCUACGGGAGGCAGCGGUAAAUUUUGGACAAUGGGAGGGGAAACCCUGAUCAGCCAUCGCGACGUGCGAUGAAGGCCUUCGGGUUGUAAAGCACUUUUGGCAGAAGAAACGGCACGGGAUAAUACCCGAUGCAACUGACAAGCCUGCAGAAUAAGCACCGGCUAACUACGUGCCAGCAGCCGCGGUAAUACGUAAGGGGUGCAAGCGUUAAUCGGAAUUACUGGGCGUAAAGCGUGCGCAGGCGGUUCGGAAAAGAUGUGAAAUCCCAGAAGCAACUUUGGAACUGCAUUUUUGGCUACCGAGCUAGAGUGUGUCAGAGGAAGUGGAAUUCCGCGUGUAGCAGUGAAAUGCGUAGAUAUGCGGAAGGAACACCGAUGGCAAGAAGGCAGCCUCCUGGGAUGCUGCCAAUGACGCUCAUGCACGAAAGCGUGGGAGCAAACAGGAUUAAGUCCCUGAUCCACGCCUAAACGUCAACUAGCUGUUGGGGCCUUCGGGCCUUGGUAGCGCAACUAACGCGUGAAGUUGACCGCCUGGGAAUUGCAGGUCGCAGGAAUUAAAACUCAAAGGAAUUGACGGGGACCCGCACAAGCGGUGGAUGAUGUGGAUUAAUUCGAUGCAACGCGAAAAACCUUACCUACCCUUGACAUCUGGAAUCCCGAAGAGAUUUGGGAGUGCUCGCAAGAGAACCGGAACACAGGUGCUGCGCCAUGGUACUGUCGUCGGCUCGUGUCGUGAGAUGUUAGGAGUUGAGAAUCCCGCAACAGGCGCAACCCUUGUCGUGGUUACUACGAAAAGGGCACUCUAAUGAGACUGCCGGUGACAAACCGGAGGAAGGUGGGGAUGACGUCAAGUCCUCAUGGCCCUUAUGGGUAGGGCUUCGUCAUACAAUGGUCAGGACAGAGGUCGCCAACCCGCGAGGGAGCCAAUCCAGAAACCCGAUCAUAGUCCGGAUCAUGAUCUGCAACUCGACUGCGUGAAGUCGGAAUCGCUAGUAAUCGCGGAUCAGCAUGUCGCGGUGAAUACGUUCCCAGGUCUUGUACACACCGCCCGUCACACCAUGGGAGUGGGUUUUACCAGAAGUAGUUAACUAACCGUAAGGAGGGCGAUUACCACAGUAGGAUUCAUGACUGGGGUGAAGUCGUAGCAGGUAA
rnacentral:rRNA from 1 species